GACGAACGCUGGCGGCGUGCCUAAUACAUGCAAGUAGAACGCUGAAGGAGGAGCUUGCUUCUCUGGAUGAGUUGCGAACGGGUGAGUAACGCGUAGGUAACCUGCCUGGUAGCGGGGGAUAACUAUUGGAAACGAUAGCUAAUACCGCAUAAGAGUAGAUGUUGCAUGACAUUUGCUUAAAAGGUGCAAUUGCAUCACUACCAGAUGGACCUGCGUUGUAUUUGCUAGUUGGUGGGGUAAAGGCUCACCAAGGCGACGAUACAUAGCCGACCUGAGAGGGUGAUCGGCCAAACUGGGAAGGAGACACGGCCCAGACUCCUACGGGAGGCAGCAGUAGGGAAUCUUCGGCAAUGGACGGAAGGCUGAACGAGCAACGCCGCGUGAGUGAAGAAGGGUUUCGGAUCGGAAAGGUCUGUUGUAAGAGAAGAACGAGUGUGAGAGUGGAAAGUUCACACUGUGACGGUAUCUUACCAGAAAGGGACGGCUAACUACGUG
rnacentral:rRNA from 1 species